AUACGUAGGGGGCUAGCGUUAUCCGGAAUUACUGGGCGUAAAGGGUGCGUAGGUGGUUUCUUAAGUCAGAGGUGAAAGGCUACGGCUCAACCGUAGUAAGCCUUUGAAACUGGGAAACUUGAGUGCAGGAGAGGAGAGUGGAAUUCCUAGUGUAGCGGUGAAAUGCGUAGAUAUUAGGAGGAACACCAGUUGCGAAGGCGGCUCUCUGGUCCGAUACUGACGCUCAUGCUCGAAAGCGUGGGGAGC
rnacentral:rRNA from 1 species